rnacentral:rRNA from 1 species
UUGAACUGAAGAGUUUGAUCCUGGCUCAGAUUGAACGCUGGCGGCAUGCCUUACACAUGCAAGUCGAACGGCA